AUGAGCUGGUCUUUUCUUCUUCUUUUGAUAUCCUUUGUUCCUUAUGUGUGUUGCAUCAGUCUGACCUCGUCUCCUGAUGAGGUUAAACCUCCUGGAGCCUCCGUGAAGUUGUCCUGUCAGAUUUCUGGCUAUGCCCUCACUGACUAUGGAACAGUCUGGAUCAAGCAAGCUCCAGGAAAAGCCUUCGAGUGGAUCGGGAUCAUAUGGGGUGAUGGAAGCAUAAACUAUGGAGCUUCCUUUAAAACUCGUUUCAGCAUCUCCAGAGACACAAGCAACAAUGUGCUUUACUUAGAUAUCAGCAGCCUGGUGUCAGAGGACACGGCUGUUUACUACUCUGCAAAGACAGACACAGCUGUACAGCUCAGUGCUAGAGAUUCUUAUGGACAGUCCCUGACCUCAUCUGCUUCUGUGGUGAAGAAACCAGGAGAAUCGGUCACUCUGUCCUGCACCGUGUCUGGACUCUCCCUUAGCUGGCUGCACUGGAUCCGUCAGAAACCAGGACAAGGACUGGAGUGGAUCGGGUCUUUUGUGCCUCUAGAGGGCAGUCUGUACAAACUCAACCAUCUCAAUGUGUUUCCAUCUGUACAUUUGGGCAAUCUCUCUUUUCACAUUCUGUUAUGA